rfam:Trichobilharzia regenti genome assembly, scaffold: TRE_scaffold0051943
GUACUGAUGAAGAGUCCCAAACUAAAACGAAACAGCUGUCUAGUAC